GAUGAACGCUGGCGGCGUGCUUAACACAUGCAAGUCGAACGGAAAGGCCCUACUUUUGUGGGGUGCUCGAGUGGCGAACGGGUGAGUAACACGUGUGUAACCUGCCCUUCACUUUGGGAUAAGUUCAGGAAACUGGGGCUAAUACCGGAUAGGAGCUCCUGUUGGAUGGUGGGGGUUGGAGAUUUUCGGCGGGUGGGGAUGGACUAGCCGCUUAUCAGCUUGUUGGUGGGGGAGUGUCUGACCGAGGCUUUGGCGGGUCGGCGGCCUGAGAGGGUGGACGGCCACAGUGGGACUGAGAUAGGGCCCAGACGCCUACGGGGGGCAGCAGGGGGGAAUAUGGCACAGUGGGCGGACGCCUGAUACAGAAGCGCCGCGGGCGUGAAGACGGUUUGCGGGGUGUAAACCGCAGGCGCCUGAGACGAAGCGUUUGUGACGGUACCGGGUGAAGAAGCACCGGCUAACUACGUG
rnacentral:rRNA from 1 species